rnacentral:rRNA from 1 species
GAUGAACGCUGACAGAAUGCUUAACACAUGCAAGUCAACUUGAACUUCGGUUUGGGUGGCGGACGGGUGAGUAACGCGUAAAGAACUUGCCUCACAGAUAGGGACAACAUUUGGAAACGAAUGCUAAUACCUGAUAUUAUGAUUUUAGGGCAUCCUAGGAUUAUGAAAGCUAUAUGCGCUGUGAGAGAGCUUUGCGUCCCAUUAGCUAGUUGGAGAGGUAACGGCUCACCAAGGCGAUGAUGGGUAGCCGGCCUGAGAGGGUGAUCGGCCACAAGGGGACUGAGACACGGCCCUUACUCCUACGGGAGGCAGCAGUGGGGAAUAUUGGACAAUGGACCAAGAGUCUGAUCCAGCAAUUCUGUGUGCACGAUGAAGUUUUUCGGAAUGUAAAGUGCUUUCAGUUGGGAAGAAAAAAAUGACGGUACCAACAGAAGAAGUGACGGCUAAAUACGUGCCAGCAGCCGCGGUAAUACGUAUGUCACAAGCGUUAUCCGGAUUUAUUGGGCGUAAAGCGCGUCUAGGUGGUUAUAUAAGUCUGAUGUGAAAAUGCAGGGCUCAACUCUGUAUUGCGUUGGAAACUGUGUAACUAGAGUACUGGAGAGGUAAGCGGAACUACAAGUGUAGAGGUGAAAUUCGUAUAUAUUUGUAGGAAUGCCGAUGGGGAAGCCAGCUUACUGGACAGAUACUGACGCUUGAAGCGCGAAAGCGUGGGUAGCAAACAGG